AUACGUAGGUGGCGAGCGUUGUCCGGAAUUACUGGGCGUAAAGGAUGCGUAGGUGGAUACUUAAGUGGGAUGUGAAAUCCCCGGGCUCAACCCGGGAACUGCAUUCCAAACUGGGUAUCUAGAGUGCAGGAGAGGAAAGCGGAAUUCCUAGUGUAGCGGUGAAAUGCGUAGAUAUUAGGAGGAACACCAGUGGCGAAGGCGGCUUUCUGGACUGGAACUGACCCUGAGGCAUGAAAGCGUGGGUAGCAAACAGGAUUAGCUACCCUGGUAGUCCACGCCGUAAACGAUGGGUACUAGGUGUAGGAGGUAUCGACCCCUUCUGUGCCGUCGUUAACACAAUAAGUACCCCGCCUGGGGAGUACGGUCGCAAGACUAAAACUCAAAGGAAUUGACGGGG
rnacentral:rRNA from 1 species